AAUACAAUUCUGGUUGAUCCUGCCAGAGGUUACUGCUAUCAGGGUUCGACUAAGCCAUGUGAGUCAAGUGUUCUUUGUGAACACGGCGAACUGCUCAGUAACACGCGGAUAAUCUACCCUUAGGUUUGGGAUAACCCCGGGAAACUGGGGAUAAUAUCGAAUAUUUCAAGGUUGCUGGAAUGCACUUUGAUUAAAAGCUACGGCGCCUAAGGAUGAGUCUGUGGCCUAUCAGGUAGUAGUGGGUGUAACGUACCUACUAGCCCGCGACGGGUACGGGUUGUGAGAGCAAGAGCCCGGAGAUGGAUUCUGAGACACGAAUCCAGGCCCUACGGGGUGCAGCAGGCGCGAAACCUUUACAAUGCGCGAAAGCGCGAUAAGGGAACCCUGAGUGCCAGCACACAGUGCUGGCUGUCCAACUGUUCAAAAAACAGCUGAUAGCAAGGGCCGGGCAAGACCGGUGCCAGCCGCCGCGGUAACACCGGCGGCCCGAGUGGUAACCGAUUUUAUUGGGCUUAAAGCGUUCGUAGCCGGUUUGGUAAGUCUCUUAGGAAAUCUGGCAGCUUAACUGCUAGGCGUCUAAGAGAUACUGCCAAACUUGGGACCGGGAGAGGUAGGAGGUACUCCAUGGGUAGGGGUGAAAUCUUGUAAUCCUUGGAGGACCAUCGAUGGCGAAGGCAUCCUACCAGAACGGGUCCGACGGUGAGGGACGAAAGCUGGGGGCACAAACCGGAUUAGAUACCCGGGUAGUCCCAGCUGUAAACGAUGCUCGCUAGGUGUCGGGUGCGGUGCGUCCGUAUUCGGUGCCGUAGGGAAACCGCGAAGCGAGCCGCCUGGGAAGUACGGUCGCAAGGCUGAAACUUAAAGGAAUUGGCGGGGGAGCACUACAACGGGUGGAGCCUGCGGUUUAAUUGGAUUCAACGCCGGAAAACUCACCAGAUCAGACAGCAGUAUGAAGGUCAGGCUGAAGACCUUACCUGAUCCGCUGAGAGGAGGUGCAUGGCCGUCGUCAGUUCGUACUGUGAAGCAUCCUGUUAAGUCAGGUAACGAGCGAGACCCGUGCCUACAGUUGCCAGCAGCUUCGCAAGAAGGAUGGGCACACUGUAGGGACCGCCGUCGCUAAGACGGAGGAAGGCGCGGGCAACGGUAGGUCAGUAUGCCCCGAAUGAUCUGGGCUACACGCGGGCUACAAUGGUUGGGACAAUGGGCACCUACCCCGAAAGGGGAUGGAAAUCUCCUAAACCUAGCCGUAGUUCGGAUCGAGGACUGUAACUCGUCCUCGUGAAGCCGGAAUCCGUAGUAAUCGCGCUUCAACAUAGCGCGGUGAAUACGUCCCUGCUCCUUGCACACACCGCCCGUCAAACCAUGCGAGUGAGGUCUGAGUGAGGGCGCGGAGCUUUUUGCCGUGUUCGAACUUGGGCUUCGCGAGUGGGGUUAAGUCGUAACAAGGUAGCCGUAGGGGAAUCUGCGGCUGGAUCACCUCCUAACG
rnacentral:rRNA from 1 species